rnacentral:pre_miRNA from 1 species
UUUGUACUCCCUCCGUCCAGAAAUACUUAUCAUCAAAAUGGAUAAAAGGAGAUGUAUCAAGAUGUAUUUUAGUUCUAGAUACAUCUCUUUUUAUCCAUUUUGAUGACAAGUAUUUUUGGACGGAGGGAGUAAUAA